GGAAUAUUGCACAAUGGGCGCAAGCCUGAUGCAGCCAUGCCGCGUGUAUGAAGAAGGCCUUCGGGUUGUAAAGUACUUUCAGUGGGGAGGAAGGCGAUGAAGUUAAUAACUUCGUCGAUUGACGUUACCCGCAGAAGAAGCACCGGCUAACUCCGUGCCAGCAGCCGCGGUAAUACGGAGGGUGCAAGCGUUAAUCGGAAUUACUGGGCGUAAAGCGCACGCAGGCGGUCUGUCAAGUCGGAUGUGAAAUCCCCGGGCUCAACCUGGGAACUGCAUUCGAAACUGGCAGGCUAGAGUCUUGUAGAGGGGGGUAGAAUUCCAGGUGUAGCGGUGAAAUGCGUAGAGAUCUGGAGGAAUACCGGUGGCGAAGGCGGCCCCCUGGACAAAGACUGACGCUCAGGUGCGAAAGCGUGGGGAGCAAACAGGAUUAGAUACCCCAG
rnacentral:rRNA from 1 species